AACUCGAGAAUAUGAGCCCCGCUGCAACGGGAUAGCGUGAGUGGUGGGCGGUGGUUCUUUAGGUACUGCCCGAACGUGUUCCAGUCUCGCCGCUUCUGUGACUCGUACCUGUGUUAACGGGAGAUGGAGAUAUUGUAUAGAGGAAUUCCGGGAAAGACACAAUAGCAGAAGUAGGGGGAAAAGAGGGGUUGGAGAUGGAAAGAUGCAUGGAAGGGGGGGAGAUAGAUUCUUGAAUCGGGACAGAACAAGCCAUAAAAAGCACCAUUUUUCGCCGGUGAGAUCUAAAUUUUUCCUCUGCCGUGUGGAAUCCUGAUGGAUGUGACUACUAAGCUUUCCCUGCCAUUUCGAUGCGAUGGGAAUGGGAAUGGCUCCAAAAUUUCGCCUAAAAUCCCCAAUUACAGGUCACAUCACUUCAAUUUCUAAACUCACUUUACUGUUCAUUCCCUAUUUCCCAAUCCAAUUCCAUUUUCCCCAAACCCUAGUUUUUUUUCAUUUACUUAAGAGAAUUCCAAUCAUAUUCCUUUACAUUGUUCUCUGUAUGAUAAUGAAUAUGGUCUUCUGUAAUAUGUGAGAUGAAGAUAAGUAGUAAUCAAAUAGUUGGUGUCUGCAAUAGGAAACGAUAUGAAGAUGAAUUGAAGGGAGUAGAGUUAGAACAACACAUGAUGCUAUAGGCUAUAGCUAUGAAUGUGGUACUUGAUGUUUAAUAUAUAUUGACACACACACACACAGGUAGUAGUACUAUAUAUAGUACCAGACAUUAGUCUUUUCUUCUGCAAAAGCAUCAGAAAUUACCAAUUCAUCAUGUGCACACAAAAUAAGAUUUUCAAAAAGGGUUGGGCUUAUAAUUGUAAAGAGGCGGAGGUGGGCUACAAGCAGAAGUUAGCAAAAAACUUAAUUAAAGAGAGCAUAAUUGUAGAACUAGAACUAGAAAGAAACAGUCUAGGUAGGGUGGUGAAGUGGAGACUUCAUUGUGUUUAAUUUUUGUUUCUUAAUUGGUUAUGGGGUUGGCAGAGUGGCUGGUUUGUCUGCCUCUUUUGUAGUUAGGCGCCCAAGAUGGGAUAAAUAUUAUAAAUACAGGCAAUGUUAGGUCUUUUCUGUAUGUCAAAUCUUCCAGUCAUUUCAUAUUUCCCUUUUUCUCCACUGCUUUAGAUUUCAUCAAUCAUCCAAAUCCACUCUCCUUACUCGUCAUUUAUUGGAUCUCUCAAUUCCUUUCUUUUCUUUAAUCUGCUUUGUUUAAUGAUCUUUUUGGUUACAGAUUGUUCGUCUUUUUAAGAAAAUUACAUAAAGCUUGUCUCUCUCUCUCUCUCUCUCUCAGAGGUCUUUGCUUUCUAGACUUGUUUUUGGAUUUUCUUGAAAAAUAUCAGGAGAAGUAAGUAUGUGCAGAUAGAUAUUUUAGAGCUUGUUUUAAAUUUUUAGAAUAAUUGAAGGUGAUGUGAUUUCAAAAGUAAUCCGUAUAUCUUUGAUUUGAGAUUUCAAUUACUUUUAACGAGCUAUACAAUCACAACUUAAAAACAUGUGUAUUAAACAGAAAAUCGAAACCUGGUUUCUGAGUAACCCUCCCUCCUACUUUUACACACAUAAAUUUUAUUUGAUAAAUGUAUUUAAAAAAUACAAAGUGCCACAUGGUAUGUUUUAAAUUGCUUUCAUUUCCUCCAUUAAGAAAAAUUGCUUUCUUAACAGUUAACAGCUGUGACCUUCCUUAACUUUAGAAUAAUGGAGGGUGAUGUAGUUUCAAAAAUCAUUGAUUUCAUUUUAUCUAAAUCUUUCCAAGUUAUUCACAGCUGAAACAUAUUUUUCGGUUUAUGUAGUUUCAAUUUGUAACAAUAAAGUCUUAAACUUUAUUAUGUUACUUAAAGUUGUAACAAUUUAGCUCCUAUAUUAAGAUUUUGUAUAUAUAUCAAAGUUGCUUCAUAAAAAAAUAUAAAUUGAUAUGUAAUUUGAAUAAUUAUUUUACCAAACUGUUAAAACACAAUUACUGGACACUUUUUAGUCUUUUACUUAAUGGGUAACAUUUUUUUUUUUUUUUUUUUGUGUGUGUGUGUGUGUGUGUGUGUGGAGGUGAGGGGAACGUUUGUUUUUGUAACAGUGACCUUCCUUAAUUUUAGAAUAAUUGAAGGGUAAUGUGUAUGAAAAAUGAUUUUAUCUCCGAUUUGUGAUUUCUAAUUAUCUGAACUUUUACAAGUUACACACAACCUGUGAUACAUUAUUCAAGACAUAUAAAAACAAGCCCUCCCUCUCAGCAAUCUUAUUUUAGAAACUCAGAAAUCAAGGCCAACCAGAGAAAAAAUUUCAUUAUCUAAGGGAACUCUCAUUCCACAAAAACGUUGGAUUACUGUUUAACACACAAUUUACAUUAAUAUCUAUUAAUAUAACGAUUGCCCCCCCUCUGGCAAGUAGGCACCUCUCUUUCUGUAGGACCUCUCUGUCUGUGCUUUGGAAGAGCUUGCUUCAUGAAGAGAGGAGGAUGGAUGGCAGAUGACAAAAAUAUAUUUCACUUAAGCUCUGGCUUCCCCAGCAGCUCACAACAGCUCCAAGUUCCAAAUCCAAGAAACUUCCCAUGAAGGAAAAAAAAUAUUGUAUUGCCAGAAUGGUAGCUAUCUGCUUACCGAUAGGUUGGCCAAGUUUCGCAGAUCCUCAAAUGCAUGCAUUGUUUCAGCAUCGAACCCUCCUGCAAACUGUAGCCGUAAAAG